GACGAACGCUGGCGGCGUGCUUAACACAUGCAAGUCGAACGGAAAGGCUCCAGCUUGCUGGAGUACUCGAGUGGCGAACGGGUGAGUAACACGUGGGUAAUCUGCCCUGCACUCUGGGAUAAGCCUGGGAAACUGGGUCUAAUACUGGAUAUGACCUUUCUCCUUAUGGGGUUUGGUGGAAAGUUUUUCGGUGUAGGAUGAGCCCGCGGCCUAUCAGCUUGUUGGUGGGGUGAUGGCCUACCAAGGCGACGACGGGUAGCCGGCCUGAGAGGGUGAUCGGCCACAUUGGGACUGAGAUACGGCCCAGACUCCUACGGGAGGCAGCAGUGGGGAAUAUUGCACAAUGGGCGGAAGCCUGAUGCAGCGACGCCGCGUGAGGGAUGACGCCCUUCGGGUUGUAAACCUCUUUCAGCAGGGACGAAGCGUAAGUGACGGUACCUGCAGAAGAAGCACCGGCUAACUAUGUG
rnacentral:rRNA from 1 species